rnacentral:rRNA from 1 species
GGGGAGGGGGGUGCUAUACAUGCAAGUCGAGCGAACGGACGAGAGUGCUUGCACUCUCUGAUGUUAGCGGCGGACGGGUGAGUAACACGUGGGUAACCUACCUAUAAGACUGGGAUAACUUCGGGAAACCGGAGCUAAUACCGGAUAAUAUUUAGCUUCGCAUGAAGCAAUAGUGAAAGACGGUUCUGCUGUCACUUAUAGAUGGACCCGCGGUGUAUUAGCUAGUUGGUGAGGUAACGGCUCACCAAGGCAACGAUACAUAGCCGACCUGAGAGGGUGAUCGGCCACACUGGGACUGAGACACGGCCCAGACUCCUACGGGAGGCAGCAGUAGGGAAUCUUCCGCAAUGGACGAAAGUCUGACGGAGCAACGCCGCGUGAGUGAAGAAGGUUUUCGGAUCGUAAAACUCUGUUGUAAGGGAAGAACAAGUACGUUAGUAACUGAACGUACCUUGACGGUACCUUACCAGAAAGCCACGGCUAACUACGUGCCAGCAGCCGCGGUAAUACGUAGGUGGCAAGCGUUAUCCGGAAUUAUUGGGCGUAAAGCGCGCGUAGGCGGUCUCUUAAGUCUGAUGUGAAAGCCCCCGGCUCAACCGGGGAGGGUCAUUGGAAACUGGGAGACUUGAGUGCAGAAGAGGAGAGUGGAAUUCCAUGUGUAGCGGUGAAAUGCGCAGAGAUAUGGAGGAACACCAGUGGCGAAGGCGGCUCUCUGGUCUGUAACUGACGCUGAGGUGCGAAAGCGUGGGGAUCAAACAGGAUUAGAUACCCUGGUAGUCCACGCCGUAAACGAUGAGUGCUAAGUGUUGGGGGGUUUCCGCCCCUCAGUGCUGCAGCUAACGCAUUAAGCACUCCGCCUGGGGAGUACGGUCGCAAGACUGAAACUCAAAGGAAUUGACGGGGACCCGCACAAGCGGUGGAGCAUGUGGUUAAUUCGAAGCACGCGAAAACCUUACCAAUCUUGACUCCUUUGACACUCUAGAGAAAACUUUCCCUUCGGGGACAAAUGAAGGGGUGAUGUUGCCUCAGUCGGGC